AGUGAACGCUGGCGGUAGGCCUAACACAUGCAAGUCGAACGGCAGCACAGUAAGAGCUUGCUCUUACGGGUGGCGAGUGGCGGACGGGUGAGGAAUACAUCGGAAUCUACUUUUUCGUGGGGGAUAACGUAGGGAAACUUACGCUAAUACCGCAUACGACCUACGGGUGAAAGCAGGGGAUCUUCGGACCCUGCGCGAUUGAAUGAGCCGAUGUCGGAUUAGCUAGUUGGCGGGGCAAAGGCCCACCAAGGCGACGAUCCGUAGCUGGUCUGAGAGGAUGAUCAGCCACACUGGAACUGAGACACGGUCCAGACUCCUACGGGAGGCAGCAGUGGGGAAUAUUGGACAAUGGGCGCAAGCCUGAUCCAGCCAUACCGCGUGGGUGAAGAAGGCCUUCGGGUUGUAAAGCCCUUUUGUUGGGAAAGAAAAGCAGCAGGUUAAUACCCCGCUGUUCUGACGGUACCCAAAGAAUAAGCACCGGCUAACUUCGUG
rnacentral:rRNA from 1 species